AUUGAACGCUGGCGGCAUGCCUUACACAUGCAAGUCGAACGGUAACGGGCCUUCGGGUGCCGACGAGUGGCGAACGGGUGAGUAAUGUAUCGGAACGUACCUUUCAGUGGGGGAUAACGUAGCGAAAGUUACGCUAAUACCGCAUAUUCUGUGAGCAGGAAAGCAGGGGAUCGCAAGACCUUGCGCUGAUUGAGCGGCCGAUAUCAGAUUAGCUAGUUGGUGAGGUAAAGGCUCACCAAGGCGACGAUCUGUAGCGGGUCUGAGAGGAUGAUCCGCCAAACUGGAACUGAGACACGGGCCAGACUCCUACGGGAGGCAGCAGUGGGGAAUUUUGGACAAUGGGGGCAACCCUGAUCCAGCCAUGCCGCGUGAGUGAAGAAGGCCUUCGGGUUGUAAAGCUCUUUCGGCCGGGAAGAAAUCGUAUCAGCUAAUACCUGGUGCGGAUGACGGUACCGGCAUAAGAAGCACCGGCUAACUACGUGCCAGCAGCCGCCGUAAAAC
rnacentral:rRNA from 1 species